rnacentral:rRNA from 1 species
ACACAAACGACUCUCGGCAACGGAUAUCUCGGCUCACGCAUCGAUGAAGAACGUAGCAAAAUGCGAUACUUGGUGUGAAUUGCAGAAUCCCGUGAACCAUCGAGUUUUUGAACGCAAGUUGCGCCCGAAGCCAUCCGGCCGAGGGCACGCCUGCCUGGGCG